UCUGGUAUUAGGUUUUCCAGAGAGAGGCUGUUAGCCUGUCUCUCGCCCACUCCACCACUGUGAAUCCUGGCUACUGGGGCUAGUUCCUUGCUAGGAAAAAAAAACUCUAGAGAAAUGUGUUUGUGUGUGGUGGGUGGGCGGGGGCCCUGAGGAUGCAGGGACUGUGUCUGCUGUGUUGUCUGUUAUAAGAUGUUUCAGACCUAUUUUGCAUACUGGCAGCGACAAGUUGAGACUUGUUCAACUUGACACAGUCCUGUGGUCAUAGCGAAUCUUUCUAAAGCUCUGAUCAGUCAAGAAGGGGGUUGUAUCAAUCCUCAGAACCCUGAGUGGAACUUUCUACAGGAUUUAUUAGGAGAAAAACCUUCCCGGAAGCUGCAGAAGGACAAAUACAGAAUCCGUGUCUGGGAGAAACCUCGUGGCCUGGUCUCCAUUAUUUGAGAUGAGUUACAUCUUGGAGGUGAGGACGUGCCUCGUGGUCUAAAGCUUCGGCACAAGGGCCCAACUGGAAUUCCACUUACGGGCCUGAUCUUUUGGCCAGAAGGAGAUUAAAAAGAUGCCCCUCAAGAUGGCUGUGCCUGUCAGCUGCAUGGAGCUUCGUUCAAGUAUUUUCUGAGCCUGAUGGAUUUACAGUGAUCUUCAGUGGUCUGGGGAAUAACGCUGGUGGAACCAUGCACUGGAAUGACACACGCCCGGCACAUUUCAGGAUACUAAAAGUGGUUUUAAGGGAGGCUGUGGCUGAAUGCCUCAUGGAUUCUUACAGCUUGGAUGUCCAUGGGGGACGAAGGACUGCAGCUGGCUGAGAGGGUUGAGAUCUCUGUUUACUUAGAUCUCUGCCAACUUCCUUUGGGUCUCCCUAUGGAAUGUAAGACCCCGACUCUUCCUGGUGAAGCAUCUGAUGCACGUUCCAUCCGGCGCUCAGCUGGGCUUGAGCUGACCAUACUCCCUGGAGCCUUCUCCCGAGGUGCGCGGGUGACCUUGGCACAUACAGCCAUCAUGAUGGUACUUUAAGUGGAGGCUGAAUCAUCUCCCCUUUGAGCUGCUUGGCACGUGGCUCCCUUGGUGUUCCCCUUUUACUGCCAGGACACUGAGAUUUGGAGAGAAUCCUGUUACACCUGGGAUUUAGGCACUUUCAAUCUGAAAAAAUACAUAUCCUUUCAGCACUCUGGACGGACUUGAGAACUGUCCUUACGUGACCUAAAGCUGGAGUAUUUUGAGAUUGGAGAAUUAAGAGCCAGUCUUGGUGCUCUGUGUUCACCUGGUUCAUCUGAGGAGCUGCAUCUACCCUGCCCAUGCCAUAGAUCCUGCCCUGUUUGCUUCUCCUGUUGCUGCUAGUGGACAUGAGAAGGACAGAAUAACGGGCUCCCAGAUUCACAAGCCCCACCAAGAGGAUCACCCCAGGAACGCUUGGAGGCUGAGGAGUUCACUGAGGCUACUGCAUCUUGAGACUCAGGAUGAAGACCCAGCUUGGGGCUGUCAAAGGUUUUUUGCAUGUCUGACACCCAUGACUCCACCUGGACCUUAUGGCUCCACCCAGAAGCAAUUCAGCCCAACAGGAGGACAGCUUCAACCCAUUACGAUUUCAUCUCUGCCCCAACCACUCAGCAGCAAGCACCUGUUACCUGUCCACCCCCACCCCUUCCCCCAAACUGCCUUUGAAAAAUCCCUAACCUAUGAGCUUUGAAUAAGAUGAGUACGAACUUCAUCGCCCACGUGGCGUGGCCGGCCUCGUGUCUAUUAAAUUCUUUUUCUACUACAA
rnacentral:lncRNA from 1 species